rnacentral:misc_RNA from 1 species
UUUCACAAUGCUUUACCUUAAUGUUUAUGUGGUUGAACUAGUUUAGUCUGCUAAGAGAAUCUUUUACUAGGAUAUGAAGCUCCUGGUUAUCCAGAACCAAGAAGUCUAUUAGUUCAGAUAGGAACACUUAUCCUCAAUUACAAGACAAACUGUGGAAUAUUGUUUAUCUAGUUUUGGAGAGCCAUAUAAAAAUUAAGAGUAUUUUUUUUUUCCCUUCCCAGAUUUGAUGUACCCAUUGUCGUUUAAAGUUCUGCCCAUAGCAGUGCCACACCUGGAACCGAAACCAGCUAGUCUGGUUUUGGCCAAAACCGAAUUUUUCCCUUAAAUAAAAUGUUUUGAAAAAGUUUGCCAUUGGAUUAUUAAAACCGGAAUGAAAACCAGAACCUGGAACCGGUUGGUCUGGAACCAAACUGUGGCUGGCCCUAGUUCCACAGCCAUCAUCUUCUAGAUAUUUUGUAGUAUAAAUUGGUCGCUGUUAUGAGUUUAAACCUUAUAGGAGAGCCUUUAUCUCUCUCCCUGUGCAUUUUGUCUGAGGAAUAACUAUGUUGCAGUCACAUAAUUUUCAACACUAAUUUAUUUCUUAAAUUAUGCAUUGUUGAUCAUCACCAUUUAUCUGAUAUACAUUUUGUAUUGGAAAUAUUUAUGAUAAAGCAGUAAUCCAAAUAUGAUAGUUUUGUCAUCUUAUCAUCUACUGUUAACAUAAACUGCCUUAUGCUUAUCGAUUAUAGUUGGAUAAUUUAACUACGAGAAUGAUAAGAAAAUUUGACUGGCAUACGGAUUAUGUUCAAUAUGGCUACUUUGUGAUUAGUCUUCCAGAGUUUUUCUCUUCAUGGCCAUAUUUGAUUAAUGAUCUCCCGUUUUCUGUUGAAAGAAACGUAAUUUGAACAAGUUUGUUAUUAUAGCAGUUAAAAUCUUGUUUUAUCUUUUGGUAAAAUAGGAAGAAAGUUUUAUCUUUUACACCUGUUUUGGAUUGAGUGCUGCAUGGUUAAUUAAUGUAUCGUAUCAUGUUAUAUUGUAUAAUAUAAUUUUUAUUGUUAACAUGUUUGGAA